rnacentral:lncRNA from 1 species
AUUUAAUAUACUAAUUUUUAUUAUUUCUAUUAGUUUCAGCUAUGAUGAUGGUUGUUUGGUUAAUCUUGGCCAUAUGAUUGAAAAUCCUUAAAUGAAUAAUGAAGUUUAUGAAGCUCGAUAUUAGUUAACAUAUAUAUAUUUAUGUUAACUUAUAUGAGUUAACUAUAUUUAGUUAAUAUAAUUUUUUUUAAAAAAAAUUAAGUAUUUAUUUAUAUAUUUAUUAGAAUCCUAAAUUCCAUAUUCCUAAAACCUACCCC